GCUGCCUCCCGAAGCCGACUCAAGGACUGGGGACUUGGUGGAUCUAUGGCAUUGGUACCCACAGAGGUCACCUGCACAGAUAAAUCUGUCGCCACCCUUCAACCCUGGCCUACCGGAUCUGCGGGGAGAAAUGCAGCAUUUGAAUUGGGGAGUGUUCAGUCCUGCUCUGCGGGGCAUUUAUUUACAAAUAUCAGCUGCAACCCAGCCUUGAUAACGUCUCAUACAGUCAGAGGACUUUGCGGGAAGCACACUUCCUCCUUGUUUGGGGCUACAGGGAAAGCCCAGGAAAGCGAGUCCCAGAAGGCCUGGGACAGCUACACCCAGUUCACCCAUGCUCAACCCGGAACAGCCGACCCAAACGGUCAGGAAGGACUUUCUGGAAGCCCAUCUUCGUAUCCUCACCAGCCCACCCUCCUACGCUGGUCAGAGUGAGAUUGCUAACCUCAAGACCCCAUUCAAUGCCAGCUUUCAACUACUGCUGAAGACCAAUGUAGGUCCUGGAAUAGAAGAACUGCAGAGUAUCCGGAGCUGGCCGACCCCAGACUGAUUCUCAACAGGUGGCUGGGUAGUGCCCCCCACCCUGUGUUGGUAGUGCGGGACCCAUCGCACACAGAGAAGCCACCUUACCCCUCACCUCACCCCGUCGGCCAAAGACUGACCACCCGCGCCCGAGUGUGGGGAGGGGUGGGAAUUCCGGAUCACACACACACACACACACACACACACACACCAGGGUAGGGGAACAGGGAAGAUCUUACCUGCAGAAAGGUAAGAGAAGCCGGGAGCGUGUA
ensembl:processed_transcript Six3os1 SIX homeobox 3, opposite strand 1